rnacentral:rRNA from 1 species
GUCUACAGCCAUACUCCCCUGAAUGCACUUGAACUCAUCUCAGAAGCUAACGAGGGUCAGGCCCUGUUAGAAGUAGGAUGGGAGAAUUCAGCAGAUGCAAAAGGAAAAAACA